rnacentral:rRNA from 1 species
UACGAAGGGGGCUAGCGUUGUUCGGAAUUACUGGGCGUAAAGGGCGCGUAGGCGGCCCUCCAAGUCAGAUGUGAAAGCCCCGGGCUUAACCUGGGAAUUGCAUUUGAGACUGUGGGGCUUGAGUUUCGGAGAGGUGGGUGGAAUUCCCAGUGUAGAGGUGAAAUUCGUAGAUAUCAGGAGGAACACCUGUGGCGAAAGCGGCUCACUGGACCAUUACUGACGCUGAGGCACGAAAGCUAGGGGAGCAAACAGG